UACGUAGGGGGCGAGCGUUAUCCGGAAUUACUGGGCGUAAAGCGCACGCAGGCGGUUCGCCAAGUUUGGAGUGACAGUUGUCGGCUCAACCGACAAAGGACUUCAAAAACUGGUGAACUUGAGGACGAGAGAGGAACAUGGAACUCCAGGUGUAGUGGUGAAAUGCGUAGAUAUCUGGAAGAACACCAAUGGCGAAGGCAAUGUUCUGGCUCGUUUCUGACGCUCAGGUGCGAAAGCCAGGGGAGCGAACGGG
rnacentral:rRNA from 1 species